GACCAAUGUCUGUACUGAUCCUUCUACAGUAAAAGUGCAGGAUGGGGAAGAUCUGCCUGUUCACAGCAUUCUGCCUUCUGCUGCUGCAGGUGUUUCAUCUCCCUUUUUCAAUUUGUGUUGGCUUUCUCAAAGAUACCGGUACCAGCUUCCUUUUCCAUGCCCUGAGCAAGACAAGCAUUUCUGUAAUGCAACAGGAGCACUUGUUG
rnacentral:lncRNA from 12 species